UUACAAUGGCCCACGCAACAGGCGUCAACAUUGCGUGGAGUACAGAGUACAGUGUUGAUCAUCAAUCAAGCAACAAAGCCCUUUUUACAUCAGCAGGAAUUACUUUUACAGUAGCCUAAUCCCAGUACUCCAAAUAGCAAGCAGAAGCACAGUGGCCAGGAACAAUUCAGACCUGAGCCCUAGGACCAUGCCUCAGGGCUACCUGGCCUGAUGACUCCUUGCUGUCCCCAGUCCACCUGGCCGUGCUGCUGCUCCAGUUUAUUAUUAUUUGACCCUGCUGGUCAUCUAUGAACAUUUGAAAAUCUUGGCCAUGUUCUGUUAUAAUCUCCACCCGGCACAGCCAGAAGAGGACUGGCCACCCCUCAUAGCCUGGUUCCUCUCUAGGUUUCUUCCUAGGUUUUGGCCUUUCUAGGGAGUUUUUCCUAGCCACCGUGCUUCUACACCUGCAUUGCUUGCUGUUUGGGGUUUUAGGCUGGGUUUCUGUACAGCACUUUGAGAUAUCAGCUGAUGCCUGCUUGCCCAGCGCCCAUGUCUCGGCCGACUCACCCAGGUGGGACGCCUGGUGGCACCCCUAGAGGGGGUACUGUCAUGCCCGUUCCCACUCUUCCUCCCCCUUGAGGGUGCCAGUCUCUCCAGGAUUACGCAAUCAAGCCACCAUUAGUACGCACACCUGCCUUUCCCAGUCACGCGCAUCUGCGCUCAUUGGACUCAGCUGAACUCUAUUACUUGUGUUUUUGCCUUCCCUUUAAAUGUCUGUUCCCAAACUCUGUUCCCUGCUUCAGGAUUUAUGUUUGUCAUAUGUCCUUGUUUACCCGUGUGCUAACGCUGUUCCUGUCGUGUUCUAUGUCCGUCACUGAUUAAAUGUUUGACUCCCCGUACCUGCUUCUUCUGUCCGGCGUCACUCCUUACAACAUCUAUAUCUGUUCUUUAUCUCUAUGUGUUUUAUAUCUGUUCUAUAUCUAUAUCUGUUCUAUAUCUUUUCUAUAUCUCUAUCUGUUUUAUAUCUCUAUCUGUUCUAUAUCUGUUCUAAAUCAAUAUCUGUUCUGUAUCUAUAUCUGUUCUAUAUCUGUUUUUUUUUUUUAUCUCUGUCUGUUCUUUAUCUAUCUGUUUUAUAUCUGUUCUAUGUCUAUAUCUGUUCUAUAUCUCUAUCAGUUCUAUAUCUGUUCUAAAUCUGUCUGUUCUAUAUCUAUAUCUGUUCUAUAUCUGUUCUUUCUCUAUCGGUUCUAUAUCUGUUCAAUAUCUCUAUCUGUUCAAUAUCUCUAUCUGUUCAAUAUCUCUAUCUGUUCAAUAUCUCUAUCUGUUCUAUAUCUCUCUGUUCUAUAUCUCUAUCAGUUCAAUAUCUCUAUCAGUUCUAUAUCUCUAUCUGUUUUAUCUCUCUGUUCUAUAUCUAUAAAUGUUCUUUAUCUCUAUCUGUUUUAUAUCUGUUAUAAAUCUAUAUAUGUUAUAUAUUUCUAUCAGUUCUACAUCUCUAUCUGUUCUUUCUCUAUCGGUUCUAUAUCUGUUCAAUAUCUCUAUCUGUUCAAUAUCUCUAUCUGUUCAAUAUCUCUAUCUGUUCAAUAUCUCUAUCUGUUCUAUAUCUCUCUGUUCUAUAUCUCUAUCAGUUCAAUAUCUCUAUCAGUUCAAUAUCUCUAUCUGUUCGCUAUCUCUCUGUUCUAUAUCUAUAAAUGUUCUUUAUCUCUAUCUGUUUUAUAUCUGUUAUAAAUCUAUAUAUGUUAUAUAUUUCUAUCAGUUCUACAUCUCUGUCUGUUCUAUAUCUCUAUCUGUUCUAUUUCUGUAUCUGUUCUGUAUCUCUAUCUAAUCAACAUCCUACCUGUGUUUUAUCGCUAUCUGUUCUAUCUCUAUAUCUGUUAUACAUCUAUAAAUGUUCUAUAUCUCUAUCUGUUCUAUAUCUAUAUAUGUUCUUUAUCUCUAUCUGUUUUAUAUCUGUUAUAAAUCUAUAUCUGUUAUAUAUCUCUAUCAGUUCUAUAUCUCUGUCUGUUCUAUAUCUCUAUCUGUUCUAUUUCUGUAUCUGUUCUAUCUGUUUUAUAUCUGUUCUAUAUCUAUUUCUGUUCUAUAUCUCUAUCUGUUCUAUAUCUAUUUCUGUUCUAUAUCUCUAUCUGUUCUAUAUCUGUUCUAUAUCUCUGUCUGUUCUCUGUCUCUAUCUGUUUUAUAUCUCUAUCUAUUCUAUAUCCUACCUGUGUAUAUCUCUAUCUGUUCUAUAUCUAUAUCUGUUCUAUAUCUCUAUCUAAUCUAUAUCCUACCUGUGUAUUUCUCUAUCUGUUCUAUAUCUCUAUCAGUUCUAUAUCCUACCUGUGUAUAUCUCUAUCUGUUCUAUAUCUAUAUAUGUUCUAUAUCUCUAUUUAAUCAAUAUACUACCUGGGUUUUAUCACUAGCUGUUCUAUAUCUCUAUCUAAUCUAUAUCCUACCUGUGUAUAUCUCUAUCUGUUCUAUAUCCCACCUGUGUAUAUCUCUAUCUGUUCUAUCUCUAUCUAAUCUAUAUCCCACCUGUGUAUAUCUCUAUCUGUUCUAUAUCUCUAUCUAAUUUACAUCCUACCUGUGUAUUUCUCUAUCUGUUCUAUAUCUCUAUCUAAUCCAUAUGCUACCUGUGUAUAUCUCUAUCUGUUCUAUAUCUCUAUCUGUUCUAUAUCUAUAUCUGUUCUAUAUCUCUAUUUAAUCAAAUACUACCUGUGUUUUAUCGCUAUCUGUUCUAUAUCUCUAUCUAAUCUAUAUCCUACCUGUGUAUAUCUCUAUCUGUUCUAAUCCUACCUGUGUAUAUCUCUAUCAGUGCUAUAUCUAUAUCUGUUCUAUAUCUCUAUCUAUUUUAUAUCCCACCUGUGUAUAUCUCUAUCUGUUCUAAUCCUACCUGUGUAUAUAUCUAUCUGUUCUAUAUCUCUAUCCGUUCUAAUCCUACCUGUGUUUAUAUCUAUCUGUUCUAUAUCCUACCUGUGUAUAUCUCUAUCCGUUCUAAUCCUACCUGUGUAUAUCUCUAUCAGUGCUAUAUCUAUAUCUGUUCUAUAUCUCUAUCUAUUUUAUAUCCCACCUGUGUAUAUCUCUAUCCGUUCUAAUCCUACCUGUGUAUAUAUCUAUCUGUUCUAUAUCUCUAUCUGUUCUAUAUCCUACCUGUGUAAAUCUAUCUGUUCUAUGUGGUUGUUGUGAUCUAUGCCAUGUUUUCUGUAAAUGUUGAUGGUUUUAUGUCUUUGACAUAGUGCUCUUGAAUGCUGGACACAUUUCCUGUAAAAGGCCUAAUAAAUGAACUGAACUGAUUAUGGGGCAUGAUCACUGAGCCAACCAUCUGUAGUAGGCUGAGAUACCUCUCAAUUGGCUUUGCAACAUUAAACAAGGCACAAAGAGACUUGUAGCUGUUGUGGUCCAUUUUAGCUAAAUUGGUAGAGCAUAGCGCUUGUAACGCCAGGGUAGUGGAUUUGAUUCCCGGGACCACCCAUAUAUAAUAUGUAUGCAGUAUGACUGUAAGUCUCUUUGGAUAAAAGCGUCUGCUAAAUGACAUAUUAUUAUAUUAUACAGUGCCUUCAGAACGUAUUCACACCCCUUGACUUUUUCAAAAUGUUGUGUUACACGGUGGGAUUAAAAUGGAUUGAAUGUCAUUUUUUGUCAACGAUCUACACAAAACACUCUGUAAUGUCAUAGUGGAAGAACAAUGGACAUUUGUUAAAAAUGUAUAAAAAUAAACAACACUAAUAUUCCGUUUUUCUGGGUAAGUCGCUAAAAGAUUUGCACAUUAUUCUUUAGCUUUUCAAGCUGAUUUAAGUCAAAACUGUAACUAGACCACUCAGGAACAUUCAAUGUCAUCUCCAGUGUUGUCACGUCCUGACCAGUAAUAGGGGUUAUUUGUUAUUGUAGUGUGGUCAGGACGUGGCAGGGGUAUUUGUUUUAUGUGGUUCGGGCUGGUGGUGUUAGUAGUAGGGUGUUUGAUUUAUUAUUCUGGGUUUUGGGCACUGUUCUCUGUUAAUGUAUUUCUAUGUUCAGUCUAGUCAUUUGUAUUUCUAUGUUUAGUUAAUUGGGGGUUGGACUCUCAAUUGGAGGCAGGUCUUUUCUCGUUGCCUCUGAUUGAGGGUCCUAUAAAUAGGUAUGUGUUUGUUAGUAUUUUGUGGGAGAUUGUUCUUGUUUAGCUGUGUGUGUGUGUGUGUGUGUGUGUGUGUGUGUGUGUGUGUGUGUGUGUGUGUGUGUGUGUGUGUGUGUGUGUGUGUGUGUGUGUGUCUGACAAGACUGUUAUCGUUGUGUUUUUUGUAUACGUGUGUUUAUUUUGGUUUUCCUUCUUUGUCCGUUAAUAAAAGAAGAUGAGUGUACAUUUUCCCGCUGCGUCUUGGUCUCAACCCUACGACAACCGUGACAAGUGUAGAUUUGGCCUUGUGUUUUAGGUUAUUGUCCUGCUGAAAGGUGAAUUUGUAUCCCAGUGUCUGUAGGAAAAUAAACUGAACCAGAUUUUUCUCUAGGAUUUUUGUCUGUGCUUA
rnacentral:lncRNA from 1 species